rnacentral:sRNA from 1 species
UCCCUGUACCUGCCCUGUGUGUACCACUUUGCUUUUCCAGCUCGGGGUCUGUCAGUGUGAGUCAGGAUAACCCAGUUUGGUUGCAGAUGGAGGUUAUCAUGCAGCCUGCCACCAGCCUGGGCAGCGCAGGCCACCCACUCACUGCCAGGGAGCAGCAAGGGCCUCUUCUCAGAGGUGGCCCUGAGGUUGCACAGGACGCUUCUCACACCAGAGUCCUUUUCCACACUGACCUUCCAGGAAAGUCACCUUCCACAGUGACUUCAGUUGCUAGCUUGGGCUGGGAUACCCACACCUCUGCCAGGAAAAGCAAUGUAGAUGCUCUCAUGCACAACUUUCACCUGUCCAUGUCAUCUCAAGGGGCUGCUUAAGGACUCUGACAGAACUGAGCGGAAGGAAGGAAAGCAUAACUGUAAUUGACCUGACCUGGUGUUUGCCUCUAACCCAGACAACUGCUCCCAGCGGUCUGGGAGGCCUGACUCUUAGGCAACCGGAUUUCACUGUCAGAUGAGUGGCCCCCAGGGAGGUCCCCUGUGGCUCUGAAGACAGAUCCCACACUCUAAAGUGAGCAACAAACCCACAGGAGGGCUCCAGUCUACUCCUAGUUAGUAUUUAUUUCAGCACCUGUUUUGUGCGAUUUUUCAUUAGCCUCUACCUGUUGCACUGUGGUGACUUGUUGGCCAUUAUUUGAUUUCUCUAUGAAAAAAAAAGAUUUGUUAUAGAAAUCAGCAUACUAUUUUUUUAAAUCUGGAGAGAAGAUGUUAUGGAGACUGGAAACAUGAUCAGGUGUCAAAUGAAAAUGUAUAAAUGCAUUGCUGCACCUGUUAGAUGUGCGACACUCAUUCCAUAUUUGCUGGCAAUAUCGAAGAAUUCUUUUUGUUUGUGUAAACUCUAAUUUCUAUCAACGUGUCAUGGGUUUUUAAAAUUUCAUUACAAAUGUCUCAGUGUUGGUUAACUAAUUUUUGCCAGGACCAUUAUUGAUUAAGGAAAUAAAUUCAGCAGCCAUUUGAGAAAAAAAAAAAGAAUUGGUGUUUGAUGUUGGAUAUUGCCCUCCCUGCAUGGAAUUGUUUUCAUUCCCAAUGAAAAAACUAACCAGCAAUUUCACUUUAUCUGAAUAUUCACACUGGUCCCUGAGGGAUAAGAUAGACACCUAACGAUAUAUUAAUUGGAAUGAAGAAUGGGUGCUUGUUAUACCAUCUCUCUUUCCUGGAACCAUGGACUCAUGAUCUCUUGAUAAGAAGCAUGGCAGGUAAAAGUCUGACAAAGAUUAGAAUGUCACAAGAUUGAUCCCAAAGACAUAGGUGAACAGCUUCUGUUGGAAGGUAAAAUAAUCAUAUAAUAGAUCGGCUUUAGUUUGGCUUUACAUAUAUUCCUACUGAUUCACCUCGGGCUGUAUAUUGUAAAGUAAUAGCAGAAAAGUAGUAAUAGUGACAAAAGUGUGUUUUACAAAAUUCAUGUCUUAAAUAAUACUACCAAAAAUUAUCCCUCACAAAUAACAGUUCAAAAUGGCUAGUCCACCACUGACCCACAAUAGGCUGUCAAUGUUUGAUAUUGCCCUCUGCCCAGUAGAUAAACAAAAUUGUUUUCCUUGUCAAUCAAAAAACAAUCCAGCAUUUUCACUUUUGCCUGAUAUUGACAUUCUAAUUCCAUGUCAAGUAGUCAAGAAUUAACCUAAGCUACAUUUAACCUGUCUAGCACUCUUAAUUUGUCAGGGAGCUGCAGUGACUCUACAGCAAAUAUCCUUGUUUUAUUUCUGUUUGGGCCUUGAUCUGAAUUCACCUCUCAGAAGACUGUGGACCUAUGGCCCAGACAUCAAGAGAAAACAUAAUGUUCUGCCAUUAACUAUGUUUAGUAACAUUGGGCAAAAGUACACAAUGAUUCCUCCUUGGCUCUUGAGCUUGCCAAGUGUGUCUGGUUAAAAUUGCCAGAAACUUAGGACCACAUCAUGGGGAGAAAGUUAAGAUCAGUGACUGAAGGUAGCCAUGUGCAUUCAAAGAAAUUUACAGGUACAAGAGCACCUGGGAUUCUUCCAAUUUUAUGACUUGUUACCCUUAGUACAACACGAAAGUUAUUUGUGGUAUUUUAUGAACAAAGACAGUUUCUGUUCUUUAAACAAACUGAUGCUUACAACAAUUUAUAUUGUUGAAUAUUUACCAAUUUUAAGAAAAAGAUAUGAAACUGAGAUGUUCUCACUUGGAAAACAUAUAAGAAACUUCAUCACUAUUCCAGGUGGUCUGUAAGUAGAGGUCUACAUGUAUAUUACAGCUUUACUCUGUGUGUACUCUACACAUUCACCAAAUUAUACAAUUAGGAUCAGGUAAUUUCUGGUGCUGCCAUUUUUUGACAGUUGCCUAUUUCCAAGAAGAGGACUAUGGUCUUUGUUUCUUUGUUUUGUUCAUUUAUUUUAUUAGUUACUAUCAUCAUCAUUAUUAUAAACAUUAUUAUUAUUAUUUUACAUUUAUUUAUUUGUUAAUUUUAUGUCUCCUGUGCUGAAAACCCCCACCCCAAUCUUUCCUCACAAAGUCUUUUUCCUUCUCUGAGCCAGUUAUGGGCCCCUGGUUUAUCCUACUACCUUGGCACCUCAACUCUGUUCAGGGUUAGACCAUCUUCUCCCCUAAGGCCAGUUGAGGAGGAGUUUCACGUCAAGAGCUUGCAGAUAGCCCUGAUCCACAUGUUGGGGGACACACAUGGAGACUAAGCUUUACGUUUGGUAUAAAUGUGCAGUAGGUCAUGGUACAGCUUCUGUAGGUUUUUUAGAUGGUAAUGCAGCCUUUGGUAGCCCCUAGUGGUCCUGAGUAGUUGAUUCUGUAGCUCUUCCUAUGGAGUUCCUAUCUCUUUAGGGUGUGGAACCCUUCCCCCAUUUCCUCCUUACAAGUCCCUGAUUGAUCCAUAAAAUCCAAUGAUUGGCUAUGGCUCUUCAUAUCCUAUUCCAGUCAGCUGCUGGAUGGAGCCUCUCAGAGGGCACUUAUGAUAGGCUCCUGCCUGGAUAUUCCAUGUAGGAGCUGGUUUCCUUUAGGCAGAGAGAGCUUUGAGCUGGGAAGUGGAGUGGAGAUCUAUGAUCGCAAGGAGUGGUGUAGUCUAGAAGCCAGGAGAGGCAAUUUGAACAGAGGUAGGUUUACUUCAUUGCUAUAGCAACUAGGACUCUGCUUCAUUGAUUCUAGUCUUAGGGAAGAAAAAAAAUAAGAUGCUGCAUAUAUAGGUUCCACUUUUGAGCCAAGAUUCUGGAGCCAGGGCAGUUUGGGAAUCUUUUAGGGAAGUGCACUCUCAACCAAUGAUUCUCAGCCUCCCUAAUCCUGUAACACUAAUAUAUUUUCUCAUGGCUUUGUGACUCUUAACCAUUACUUCAUUUUGCUUCUCUUCAUAAUUCAAAGUUUGCUCCUGAUGUGAUUAUAAAGAAAAAUGGAUGGAAUAUCUGAUAUGGAAAAUAUAUGUGACCCUGUAAUGAUUAUGACCCACAAGUUGAGAAUCACUGGUCUAAACUGCUAAUUUUAAACAAAAAUGUUUUUCAAGUACUUUCUACAAUGUAUAAUGACCAUUACUAUUUUUGUUUUAUUUUCAAUAAAAAAAAGGAUUUUAUUAUUACCAUCGAUGGAAGCUUACUAACCUUGGAUUUUUAUGAAAAUUGGCGUAGCAUCCCAGAUGAAGGAACUCUGGCUGGAAAAAUUAAUGCCAUUCAAAGCCUUUUGCAACAGAUCCCAGAACCAAACUUUAUACUAUUAAAACAUCUCAUAUGUCUAUUAGUAAUAAUAAAAGAUUCUUCUAUGAAUAAUUUAGACAGUUACAUGUUGUCUCUGCGCAUAGCUCCACAUGUACUGUGGGGUCAGACUUCGAGAGAUUCAUUAUGUGGGAGUGACGUUUUAAGAAAUGUAAGGGGAUCUGAAAUUUGCCUUUGGGAACAAAAGUCUAAUUUUUAUCAUUCAGUAAUUGGGAAUACUUUACAAAGAUGAUUUCUCUAACAGGAAACCCUAGGAUUGCAUUCUUAUGGAGUGGAGUAGAAUAUGUAUUGAUCUAUAUCAGGAAGAUUUGGGAAGGGAGAUUUUUAAUGUAGUUUAAAAAGUCUCUUAUACAAAUCAUGAUUGACAACUAUGAUCAAAUAUUUGGAAAUGAUGAUAUAUUUAGUAAACACAUUGACAAAAGUUCUGAAGACUUAAAGACAUACAAAGAAUCAAUAAAUUAUUCUGGAAAAUCUCCUAUUAUGACAAAAGCCAUAGCUGGACACAACUGGAAAACCAAUGAUAUUGAUGAAAAAUUUAAUAUUUCAUAUGCUGCACUGCAGGAAGAAGGUCCUACAG